GCAUUGGCAGUUCUCGGCCACCGUACCUCUAAAAUAGGAUAAUUUUGGUCAUUGCAGAUAGUAGAGAUUGGAGAGACAAGUCAAGUCACGUCCUGAAAAUCAGGGCUAAUGUUAGACUGAAUUUCUGUAGAGCUGGUGGUGGGCUGUAUUUUUUUCUGUUACAUUUCUUUUCAGUUAAAAAAUACCGGCCACCUUUGCUCAUGUCAGUGCCCUAAAUGGGCCACCCCACUUUUAAAGUCUAGCUACGCCCCUAGAUGUUCAUCUGCAGCAGUUUAUCAAGCUUGAAGCACAAAACAUCGAAGGUAAGCAUUCAUGUUAAUUCCACUGCCUCAUUUUUGAUUUUUCAGAGCCUUAAAUUUGAUCAUAAAUUUCACUUUCCUGCUUUCAGAGUGACAUUUUUCCUUCCCUCUUACUCACAGCCCCCCUCCCGUCUCACUGCCAGUGCUGUCCAUGUCGGUAACACAUCUUUCAGGAGAUGAAGGAAACCUCGCUUGUCACAGUGCGCCUGCUUUCUUCUUCCAGG